GUUCGGUCCCUAUCUGCCGUGGGCGCUGGAGAAUUGAGGGGGGCUGCUCCUAGUACGAGAGGACCGGAGUGGACGCAUCACUGGUGUUCGGGUUGUCAUGCCAAUGGCACUGCCCGGUAGCUAAAUGCGGAAAAGAUAAGUGCUGAAAGCAUCUAAGCACGAAACUUGCCCCGAGAUGAGUUCUCCCUGAGUCUUUGAGUGUCCUGAAGGAACGUUGAAGACGAUGACGUUGAUAGGUCGGGUGUGUAAGCGCAGCGAUGCGUUGAGCUAACCGAUACUAAUGAACCGUGAGGCUUAACCUUA
rnacentral:rRNA from 1 species